ACCAGACUCCUACGGGAGGCAGCAGUGAGGAAUAUUGGUCAAUGGGCGGGAGCCUGAACCAGCCAAGUCGCGUGAGGGAAGACGGCCCUACGGGUUGUAAACCUCUUUUGUCGGGGAGCAAAGCGAACCACGUGUGGUUCAUUGAGGGUACCCGAAGAAAAAGCAUCGGCUAACUCCGUGCCAGCAGCCGCGGUAAUACGGAGGAUGCGAGCGUUAUCCGGAUUUAUUGGGUUUAAAGGGAGCGUAGAUGGGUUGUUAAGUCAGUUGUGAAAGUUUGCGGCUCAACCGUAAAAUUGCAAUUGAUACUGGCAGCCUUGAGUACAGUUGAGGUAGGCGGAAUUCGUGGUGUAGCGGUGAAAUGCUUAGAUAUCACGAAGAACUCCGAUUGCGAAGGCAGCCUACUAAACUAUAACUGACACUGAAGCACGAAAGCGUGGGGAUCAAACAGGAUUAGAUACCCCCGUA
rnacentral:rRNA from 1 species